GGGGAUGUUUUGGUUUUGACAGCAUCGAUUCUGGACAGUAAGCACGCCGGGCGCCGGAAGCCUGCCCGUAAAUCUCGGUUUUCAAACAAUCAGUUGCCAACAACAACUACGCACUCGCUGCUUAAUUUGACUCAGUCAAAUGGCUUAAUCCGCGUCGCCUAGGCUGCGACGCCGACGAGUAUCCCUCGGACUUUCCGCCCGCUCUGUUCCGGCCCAGGGGUAUCAUUUAAGCGGGACGCACCGGUGGACGCUUCUACAGCCGGCUAAGAUUUAGAAGCUAAGGAUUCGGAUCGCCCGUCUUCCGGCAGCCCGGUCCCUACAACCAAAGGAAGAAUAAGCGUGUAGAAAGCUCUCUGGUGCGGUGUUUGGACGGCGGUUCGAGUCCGCCCAUCUCCAC
rnacentral:tmRNA from 1 species